AGCAGUCGCCGCGGUAAGACGGAGGGUGCUAGCGUUGUUCGGAAUCACUGGGCGUAAAGGGCGCGUAGGCGGCCUGUUAAGUCGGAUGUGAAAGCCCGGGGCUCAACCCCGGAAUUGCAUCCGAGACUGGCAGGCUUGAGACCGGGAGAGGAGGGUGGAAUAUCCAGUGUAGAGGUGAAAUUCGUAGAUAUUGGAUGGAACACCGGUGGCGAAAGCGGCUCUCUGGCCCGGAUCUGACGCUGAGGCGCGAAAGCGUGGGGAGCAAACAGGAUUAGAUACCCCUGUAGUCCCUGUCUCUUAUAC
rnacentral:rRNA from 1 species